UACCGACAGAAUAAGCACCGGCUAACUUCGUGCCAGCAGCCGCGGUAAUACGAAGGGUGCAAGCGUUAAUCGGAAUUACUGGGCGUAAAGCGCGCGUAGGUGGUUCGUUAAGUUGGAUGUGAAAGCCCCGGGCUCAACCUGGGAACUGCAUCCAAAACUGGCGAGCUAGAGUACGGUAGAGGGUGGUGGAAUUUCCUGUGUAGCGGUGAAAUGCGUAGAUAUAGGAAGGAACACCCAGUGGCGAAGGCGACCACCUGGACCUG
rnacentral:rRNA from 1 species